UACGUAGGGGGCAAGCGUUGUCCGGAUUUAUUGGGCGUAAAGAGCGUGUAGGCGGUCAGGUAGGUCCGUUGUGAAAACUCGAGGCUCAACCUCGAGACGCCGACGGAAACCAUCUGACUAGAGUCCGGAAGAGGAGAGUGGAAUUCCUGGUGUAGCGGUGAAAUGCGCAGAUAUCAGGAAGAACACCCGUGGCUAAGGCGGCUCUCUAGUACGGUACUGACGCUGAGACGCGAAAGCGUGGGGAGCGAACAGG
rnacentral:rRNA from 1 species